rnacentral:rRNA from 1 species
AUUGAACGCUAGCGGGAUGCCUUACACAUGCAAGUCGAACGGAGUGGCGAACGGGGGAGUAAUGUAUCGGAACGUGCCCAGUAGCGGGGGUUAACUACGCGAAAGCGUAGCUAAUACCGCAUAAUAUUGGCACGGCAGAUAUCGGAAUAGCUAGUUGGUGGGGUAACGGCUCACCACGGCGACGAUCCGUAGCUGGUUUGAGAGGACGACCAGCCACACUGGGACUGAGACACGGCCCAGACUCCUACGGGAGGCAGCAGGGGGGAAUUUUGGACUAUGGGGGAAACCCUGGGCCAGCCAUCCCGCGUGUGCGAUGAAGGCCUGCGGGUUGUAAAGCACUUUUGGCAGGAAAGCGGUACCUGCAGAAUAAGCACCGGCUAACUACGUGCCAGCAGCCGCGGUAAUAC